AGUAAUACAUCGGAACGUGCCCUGUAGUGGGGGAGUAACUAGUCGAAAGAUUAGCUAAUACCGCAUACGACCUGAGGUGAAAGUGGAGGACCGCAAGGCCUCAUGCUAUAGGAGCGGCCGAUGUCUGAUUAGCUAGUUGGUGGGGUAAAGGCCUACCAAGGCGACGAUCAGUAGCUGGUCUGAGAGGACGAUCAGCCACACUGGGACUGAGACACGGCCCAGACUCCUACGGGAGGCAGCAGGG
rnacentral:rRNA from 1 species